rnacentral:rRNA from 1 species
GUGUCAGCAGCCGCGGUAAUACGGAGGGUGCAAGCGUUGUCCGGGUUUAUUGGGUUUAAAGGGUGCGUAGGCGGUUCUUUAAGUCCGGGGUGAAAGCCCGUUGCUCAACAACGGAACUGCCCUGGAAACUGGAGAACUUGAGUACAGACGAGGGCGGCGGAAUGUAUGGUGUAGCGGUUAAAUGCAUAGAUACCAUCCAGAACCCCGAUUGCGAAGGCAGCUGCCUAGACUGUAACUGACGCUGAGGCACGAAAGCGUGGGGAGCGAACAGGAUUAGAUACCCUGGUAGUCCACGCCGUAAACGAUGGAUACUCGCUGCCGGCGAUACAAUGUCGGUGGCUUAGCGAAAGCGUUAAGUAUCCCACCUGGAGAGUACGCCCGCAAGGGUGAA